GGGAAUUUUCCGCAAUGGGCGCAAGCCUGACGGAGCAACGCCGCGUGAGGGACGAAGGCCUCUGGGCUGUAAACCUCUUUUCUCAAGGAAGAAGAUCUGACGGUACUUGAGGAAUAAGCCACGGCUAAUUCCGUGCCAGCAGCCGCGGUAAUACGGGAGUGGCAAGCGUUAUCCGGAAUUAUUGGGCGUAAAGCGUCCGCAGGCGGCUUUGUAAGUCUGCUGUCAAAGCGUGGAGCUUAACUCCAUUUCGGCAGUGGAAACUACGAGGCUUGAGUGUGGUAGGGGCAGAGGGAAUUCCCGGUGUAGCGGUGAAAUGCGUAGAUAUCGGGAAGAACACCAGUGGCGAAGGCGCUCUGCUGGGCCAUAACUGACGCUCAUGGACGAAAGCCAGGGGAGCGAAAGGGAUUAGAUACCCCUGUAGUC
rnacentral:rRNA from 1 species